AUACAAAAUUCACAAUGCAGAGGUACUUUCUCUAUGUGCUGAUGGCAUUCAUACUUUUUGCAUCGGUGAUGUACAGCACAAUCAUAGGACAAAUGAUUCUAUCGUCACAGACUUACUGCUGAUCAGUCUACUCAGUGGUUGAUCAACUUCCACUAGUCCCGGUAGUGGCAUAGAAGGAACACAGAUGGGGGCAUUGGGACUUGCUAUUCUGCUUAUUGUAAUUUUUCUUUUAUCUUUUUUGGCUUCUUUCAGCCUAAUUAAUACUUCCCUUUUGUAUGACAAAGCUGUCCUUUAGACAAGUUCAUUUUAUUGCCUAAUUAAGUUUGGCACUCUAACUAAAGCAUGAUUCUUCAAAUGAUAAUUUGUUCCAUUGUCACAUUGCAACAUGAAUGUUAGUUUGAUGAUUCAAAAUCUUUUCACAUUAAUUGUUUCUCUACCUUUUUAGGCGUUCAUGUUUUGCAGUUGUCUAUAUAUGCUAAUUUUUUUGCUUAGAAUGUUGUUCAUUCUAUAUUAUUGCCUUCUGGGGGUAGAUUUUGUGGAAUAAUCAAUGUUGAAAUGCCUUCUCUGUAUAUGCGUGUUGUAUACUUGCACAAUUUUCAAUAUGAUACUUAUUAGCUGAUGAAUUUGGAUGUAGGUGCUAUUUCCUGAGGAUGCCACAGUUGAUGAUCU
rnacentral:misc_RNA from 1 species